rnacentral:tRNA from 1 species
GGCCAUGUGGCCUAAUGGAUAAGGUGUCUGACUUUGAAGCAGAAGAUAGUGAGUUUGAGUCUCAUUGUGGUUA